AUGAUCUUGGCUCACUGCAGCCUCAACUUCCUGGGCUCAAGUGAUCCUCCCACCUCAGCCUCCCAUGUGGCUGGAACCACAGGCACAUGCCACCAUGCCUGGCUAUUUUUUUGUUGAGCUGGACUCUCACUUUGUUGCCCAGGCUGGUCUUGAACUCCUCGGCUCAAGCAGUCCUUCCCACUGAGCCUCCCGUAGUGUUGGGAAUAACAGGCGUGCACUACUGCACCUGCUGCAGCCACUUGUAUAAAACCGCUGACCUGUGUAUGGAGGACAGGCCAGGUGUGUGCUCACAGCACUGCGAAGAUGUAUUGUCACGUGACUUCCCCCGGCCACCGUGCCCGGCCUCCAUUUCUCUUUUUCUGCUUUCCUCAAAAACUAAUAGAAGACCGGGUGUGGUGGCUCACGCCUCUAAUCUCAGCACUUUGGGAGGCUGCAGCUGGUGGAUCACAAGGUCAGGAGUUUGAGACCAGCCCGGCCAACGUGAUGAAACCCUAUCUCUACUAAAAAUACAAAAAUCAGCUGGGUGUGAUGGUGGGUGCCUGUAAUCCCAGCUACUCAGGAGGCUGAGGCAGGAGAAUUGUUUGAACCCCGGAGGUGGAGGCUGCAGUGAGCCAAGAUCGUGCCAUUGCACUCCAGCCUGGCAACAGGGCGAGAUUCCGUCUCAAAAAGAAACACUAUUAGAAAAUGCCCUGGAAGGCUGGGUGGCGGGGGGUUGUUGAUUUGUGAGGACAGAUUGAAAGCAACCCCCAGGGUGGCCUUGUCCACCUCCCCAUCGAGAAUGUGGCUGCCAGGCUUCCCUCUGGCCUCUUUGAAGAUUGUGGUCUGGGAUAAGGAGAGGUGCAGGCGCCUGGUUCUGAGCACCUUGGAAUUUCCAGCCGCACAUCCUCUGGUGCCCUCCCCUCCACCCUCACAAGGAGCUUCCAUCCUGUUUCGAUUUUCUGUUUGUGGACCAGAAACAAACAUUUUUCCAAAUGAUUAGCAAAUAGGGUGAUUUCCUGUGUAACGCUGCUCUGGGGCUUCUUCCUCAUCCUGGCAGAAGGAGCCUGGAGCCGAUGAGGCGGCCAGCACUGUGCCCUUGCUCAGUCGUGCUGUCCCCUCCCUCUCCCUCAGUCUCCUCUCCAUGCCCAAGUCGGUUUCCAGCCGCUGGUCUUCAUGGCAUUCCUAGCACAGCCGGGCACCAAGAGGCAAAACCCAAGGCCUGGCUUGGCCAUGUUAACGACUGUACAGACAUAUUUUUUAAAAUAACUUUGUGUAAUACUUUUCUUGAAUAGUAAGUUCUUGUUGAACUGUCACAGAUGUGCUUCUAGAAAUGCACCGGGUGUUGUUACUUCCACUGGGUGUGUCCGUGGUCGAGGUCUGUGCCUUUGUAAACAAACAGAACACUUGAGCCACCUCCCGAAUUGGGUCAUCUGCUUCUGUACAUUGAUACUUAAGAGAUGUGCAGCUCUCUAACUUUCAAGGAAACUUCCCCUACUGAAUGGCAUAAAAAGGUUAAAAAAGAAAAUCCGAGAGUCCCAAUUCCCUGUAUAACAGCAUUAAGAUAAUCUGCCUGCCUAGAAAGAUAAGAACACUGUUGCACAACCCAAAAUGUGUCUUUAAUUUGUGAAAAAUUACCAUGGUGAGUCAGACAGUCAUUUUAAAGAGCUGAACAGAGACUAUCAUCAGCAAAUAGAACUCCGCUUUGUAGCUGCCUUUAAAAUCCUUGUCCCAAAACCGGUGAGCUCUGCUUGCUGCCGCCAUGCUCCCAGGUGAUCACUCAGACAGGUCAGUGGGAAUAACAGGCGAACAAGACAGCUUUUUACAUGUGUCCAAAGGAUGGCCUUUCGAAGGCCUGGAAGUAUUUCACUGUUGGAAGAAGUAAACAAGAAUGACAUUCCAAGUGGAAAUAGAAUUCUCUCUCUUGCCUUUGACCAACGUGGUACUGAGGGGUUUAUUCUUUCCCAAUGUAUGCACGUGCCCUGCUGGGGGCCCUACUUUAUAGAAUGAGAGCAUCCGAGCUCCCCUAAUGAAUCUGGCUAGUUCUCUGUCUGGCUGAGGAUACAGGAGUGGGAUGUCCAUGCUCAGAUCCCUCAGAGCACAGAAACCUUCAGCUUUGCUGUCUCUUAAGUAUUUCCUCCAGUUUCCCUGCGGGCCCCUGAUGUUUGAGUUUGAUGGCUGCUGGAUCCUCACUCAACGAAAACUCGGUUGGAAACUGUUCCAACUGGCAGUCCUUUUUUGUUUGUUGUUUUCCAUUUCAUUUCACUGUCAUCUGAAAGUGGCUUUCAGCUGACUUGCUCAUUUAGACUGUUCACGGAGUCUGAACCUGCCAAUGUGGUGUUGGAGGCUCCACCUUGAAAAGGGCCAAAGUCAGGGCAACUUUCCCCAUACGGGAAAACUUGGAAAUUACGUCAACAGUCUAUGUCACAGCCAAAUUAUAUUUCCUUUAUACCAAACAAAACUAUGGAGAACUAAAAGUACAUCAUACAAGAUGUUUAUAGUGUUUUGUAUGUGACCUAUUUCAGUAUUUAUAUAACUAAAUUAGUGCUUUCUAGCAAACGGUUCUGUUAAUUAGUGAGUCACUGUUAAUUCUGCUGUGGUGAGAAGUUGAUACUGUGUAACUAAUCCUGUGGAUGCCUCCUGGUUAUUUUGGUCUAAACUAAGCAGCCAUGGUUGUAGCUGUCUAUGAUUCUUGCUCAGCAAAGUAAAAUAAAUGUUAAAUAUGGA